rnacentral:ncRNA from 2 species
UACGUGCUCCGGGGUCGGUGUAAGUCCGAACCGGCGGUGAUAGUCCGCGACCCGCUACCAAAGCCACAAGCUGAGGGAACGGUUGAACUGGUGAAAUUCCGGUACCGACAGUUAAAGUCUGGAUGGGAGAAGCACGAA